GACGAACGCUGGCGGCGUGCUUAACACAUGCAAGUCGAACGGAAAGGCCCUGCUUUUGUGGGGUGCUCGAGUGGCGAACGGGUGAGUAACACGUGAGUAACCUGCCCUUGACCUUGGGAUAACUUCAGGAAACUGGGGCUAAUACCGGAUAGGAGCUCCUGCUGCAUGGUGGGGGUUGGAAAGUUUCGGCGGUUGGGGAUGGACUCGCGGCUUAUCAGCUUGUUGGUGGGGUAGUGGCUUACCAAGGCUUUGACGGGUAGCCGGCCUGAGAGGGUGACCGGCCACAUUGGGACUGGGAUACGGCCCAGACUCCUACGGGAGGCAGCAGUGGGGAAUAUUGCACAAUGGGCGGAAGCCUGAUGCAGCAACGCCGCGUGCGGGAUGACGGCCUUCGGGUUGUAAACCGCUUUCGCCUGUGACGAAGCGUGAGUGACGGUAAUGGGUAAAGAAGCACCGGCUAACUACGUG
rnacentral:rRNA from 1 species